GGGGUACACGAGUGGCGAACGGGUGAGUAACACGUGGGUGAUCUGCCCUGCACUCUGGGAUAAGCCUGGGAAACUGGGUCUAAUACCGGAUAUGAGCUCCUGUCGCAUGGCGGGGGUUGGAAAGGUUUACUGGUGCAGGAUGGGCCCGCGGCCUAUCAGCUUGUUGGUGGGGUAAUGGCCUACCAAGGCGACGACGGGUAGCCGGCCUGAGAGGGCGACCGGCCACACUGGGACUGAGACACGGCCCAGACUCCUACGGGAGGCAGCAGUGGGGAAUAUUGCACAAUGGGCGAAAGCCUGAUGCAGCGACGCCGCGUGAGGGAUGACGGCCUUCGGGUUGUAAACCUCUUUCAGCAGGGACGAAGCGAGAGUGACGGUACCUGCAGAAGAAGCACCGGCCAACUACGUGCCAGCAGCCGCGGUAAUACGUAGGGUGCGAGCGUUGUCCGGAAUUACUGGGCGUAAAGAGCUCGUAGGCGGUUUGUCGCGUCGUCCGUGAAAACUUGGGGCUCAACCCCAAGCUUGCGGGCGAUACGGGCAGACUUGAGUACUGCAGGGGAGACUGGAAUUCCUGGUGUAGCGGUGAAAUGCGCAGAUAUCAGGAGGAACACCGGUGGCGAAGGCGGGUCUCUGGGCAGUAACUGACGCUGAGGAGCGAAAGCGUGGGUAGCGAACAGGAUUAGAUACCCUGGUAGUCCACGCCGUAAACGGUGGGCGCUAGGUGUGGGUUUCCUUCCACGGGAUCCGUGCCGUAGCUAACGCAUUAAGCGCCCCGCCUGGGGAGUACGGCCGCAAGGCUAAAACUCAAGGAAUUGACGGGGGCCCGCACAAGCGGCGGAGCAUGUGGAUUAAUUCGAUGCAACGCGAAGAACCUUACCUGGGUUUGACAUAUACCGGAAAGCCGUAAAGAUACGGCCCCCCUUGUGGUCGGUAUACAGGGGGGUGCAUGGCUGUCGUCAGCUCGUGUCAUGAAAUGUUGGGUUAAGUCCCGCAACUACCGCAACCCUUGUCCUGUGUUGCCACGGCGUAAUGG
rnacentral:rRNA from 1 species